CAGUAGCCGCGGUAAUACGAAGGGGGCUAGCGUUGCUCGGAUUUACUGGGCGUAAAGGGUGCGUAGGCGGACCGUUUAGUUGGGGGUGAAAGCCCGGGGCUCAACCUCGGAAUUGCCUUCAAUACUGGCGGUCUUGAGUAUGGAAGAGGUAAGUGGAACUCCGAGUGUAGAGGUGAAAUUCGUAGAUAUUCGGAAGAACACCGGUGGCGAAGGCGACUUACUGGUCCAUUACUGACGCUGAGGCACGAAAGCGUGGGGAGCAAACAGGAUUAGAUACCCCAGUAGUCCCUGUCUCUUAUAC
rnacentral:rRNA from 1 species